AUGCUAAUUCAAAUUGGAUCAUGACAAAUAAAUAUCGCCCCAGGUUUCGUAUAGUUUCCUGUUGGCUUCCUUCUCGUGCAUACUAUAGGCAUCUUAGUUAUCUGCAAUUUUAUUUGGGCCAAACGGGAUAACAGCAAUUUCCAGCAACAUCUUGACUUCACUGGCUUCAACCUAAGGAUAGGAUGAUUUGGGUUUUAGUGAUCCAUUUGCUCCCGUGUGUCUUGUUGCGAAGAGAAUUGCCUGCAUCUUUCAGGGUGAUGCUCUGUGGUAGUUAUUAGUUUGCCACAGUAUAUCCAUGUUGUUGCCACAUGGCUGUUGGUUCAGUUUAUUAUAACUGUACGAUAAGUUGCUGCGUGCUCCCUAAUUCAAACCUUCAGCCUCAAUGCAAUUUGCUUCUAUUUGGAAGGCAUGGCAACAGGUGGCACCUUUUCUUAUCUGGCAUGCACUCCUCAGCAUGGGUUCAACUCUUCCACUUCAUCUGUUGGUAGAAUCUUCUUGUUCAGUCUUAUGACUUUCCUAUGAUUCUUUACCCUCGUUGCAAAGCUGCCUGAUUUACAGACAAAGGAAUUCAUACUUUUUGUGAUCUAUGGAACUUUCACGUCUUUGGUCGGAAAAUGAUGCAGUAAAUUCAUUCUAAAUUUCGUCUUCUUCCUACCGAUCUGAUGCUGAUUCAGGAUUUUUUUACGCUGGUGUCCCCUACUCUAUUGGAUCUGAUUGCCACGUCAUUUGUUUUUAACUUGCUGAGGACUGGCACUGCCCAACUAAAUCCUGAUGAAGCAGUUAUCUGCUCCGCUUAAUAACAAUACAACAGCUCUCAUAGAGCUUAGAACUCAGUUUUCUUUAAUUAAAUCUCAAUCGCAAGCUCUUGGGAAGAUCUGAAUGCUGCUUCACCCUUUAUCUUUGUUUCCCUUAUGGUUGUGCGUUACAGAUACAGAGUGGGUUCAGGAUUCCAUUGUGUGUAAGUUUAAAUCUUUGUUCGUAAGUGUGCAUUUCUGAUACAGUAAUUUCUAUUCUUGAACUCUCUAACGUGGCCCUGCUGUAGAUGGGACCCUAUCUCUUCAGCUGUUAAACUGCUGUGUAACAGCUGAUCACAAGCAUAUUCAGGAUUGCUUAUACUGGUAUUUUUGGUUUUGGUGCCUGUGGUGAACCUGAUAUUGACAAUAAGUUUGAGAGGCAAGUUAGCCAAGCUGCUAGUGCUGGGUCUCUGAGUAAAUUGGAGUUUUUAGAUCUUACCUGUGCUAAUCUUACUAGAGUUUGCAUGUUAACAGUUACAUUCCUCAUCAUUUCUUGAUUCCAGAGAUGAACUAUGCUAUGUGGUAUGGUAGACAGCUUCAAUUUUGUGGCUGAGUGAAACAAACAAGAGAGUUAUAUUUAUGCUCAUUAGAUGAUGUGGGCAAGCUUCAGGAAUAAGUAACCCACACCAGGAUUUCCAUGAUGGAUGGAUGCUUUGUUCCAGCAAUCCUGUGACUUUUACAAAACUUGAUAUUACUUAUUUCUGUCCACUUUUGGCAGCCUAUAUUGUAUUACACUCCUGUUCAAACAUAGUAGGCCUUUAUCCCAAAUAAAAAAGUUCGUAAGUUCAACACUCCAAUUAUGAUGAUUUUCGAAAAAACUAUGCAAGCUUGCUCGAGAGUUUGUAGAGGUUAAAGACUGCCAAGAUGACCUUAACACCUUCAAGUCAAACAUAGAAAGUGUACGUUUCUAAAAGUGAAUCAUAAAACAGAUAAUAGUUUUGUCUGACAAAACCACCAUAAACAUCAAAGUGGCAGUUUUGAAAGUGCCGUGAUUAUUUUUACAAGCAAAAGGAAAAGUUGCCCUUUAUCAUUCAAACGAAAAGAGGAAUAAUUGGAAAUGGCCUCUAGCAGUUGUUUGGUUUUUGGGACUUCGUUUUAUCCCUUUCUUUUAAGAUUGCCUUAACAGCCAUUCCGAUGGAUUUUUACCAUUUUUCUAAUUCUUUUAUACAAAGAUCGAGUAAGCUUGGUUAAGAGUGCUCAAAGAAAUUGAGUGCUGUAAAAAGAUGUGCAUUUGCAACAAGUUACAUCAAACUAAUAGGCAGGGUGUUAUCAGUAUGUUUGUUGGUAUCCGUGAAGACCUCGAGAAGGUACUAAGUUUUUAAUGUUGUACAGGUGAUAGUCAAACGAGAUGGCAACAUUUUACUCUUUGUCCAUCACUAGGUUUCUCCAAGGUUGUUGAAGCAAAGAAGUGUUACAGAAAUUCAGAGAGAAGUUGUAUUGAUGUAACUCAAUGGAAGGAUUAAUACAAGUCUUGGAUCUCUUUGGGUGUGGAGUUUUUUCCCGAAAGGGUUUCUCCACGUAGAUCUUGAGUUAUGGUUUGCAUUUAUUUUGUUAUCCAUUUCCAUCAAUGAUUUAUUGCUAUCUAUUUAUUUGAAUGCGUAAAAUUAUCAGCAUAAUUUCACUAUAUAGUUUUAUCGUGUUUUCAACAUUUGGUAUCAAAGUCAAGUUGGCUUGAUUUGAGAAGGGGAUGCCUUUCUUGGAAUGUUUGAUUGGGUUUUUUGUUGUAAUGGGAGUGCGUUUUUUUUCUUGCAGUUUCAAAUUCAAUGCAAUAAGAGAUCAUGGCUGGCUCAUCUUGAUUGGACAUUGAAAAGUUCAACAGUUCUGGAUAUGAUUUUUGGAAGCUAAAGAUGGAGGAUAUUUUAGAAGAAAGAGAUCAAUGGAUUGUUGUUAAUAAAGAGGAGAAACCAGAUACUAUGACAAAUGAAGAUUGGAAUAAAAUAGAUAAAAAGUCUCGUGACACUAUUCGUU